rfam:Marinobacter antarcticus strain CGMCC 1.10835 genome assembly, contig: Ga0079884_101
CCGGUCGUAUGCCAAACCACUUGCGAGGGUGGGACGGAAAGCCAAGGAUCUCUAAAAUAAUAAGAGACAGCCUGGUUGCAAAG